GACGAACGCUGGCGGCGUGCUUAACACAUGCAAGUCGAACGGAAAGGCCCUGCUUGCAGGGUGCUCGAGUGGCGAACGGGUGAGUAACACGUGGGUGAUCUGCCCCUUACUUUGGGAUAAGCCUGGGAAACUGGGUCUAAUACUGGAUAGGACCAUGCUGUAGGUGGUGUGGUGGAAAGAUUAGUUUCGGUAAGGGAUGAGCUCGCGGCCUAUCAGCUUGUUGGUGGGGUAAUGGCCUACCAAGGCGUCGACGGGUAGCCGGCCUGAGAGGGUGGACGGCCACAUUGGGACUGAGAUACGGCCCAGACUCCUACGGGAGGCAGCAGUGGGGAAUAUUGCACAAUGGGCGCAAGCCUGAUGCAGCGACGCCGCGUGGGGGCUGACGGCCUUCGGGUUGUAAACUCCUUUCAGCCAUGACGAAGCCCUUGUGGUGACGGUAGUGGUAGAAGAAGCACCGGCUAACUACGUG
rnacentral:rRNA from 1 species